rnacentral:rRNA from 1 species
GAUGAACGCUGGCGGCGUGCCUAAUACAUGCAAGUCGAGCGAACAGACGAGGAGCUUGCUCCUCUGACGUUAGCGGCGGACGGGUGAGUAACACGUGGAUAACCUACCUAUAAGACUGGGAUAACUUCGGGAAACCGGAGCUAAUACCGGAUAAUAUAUUGAACCGCAUGGUUCAAUAGUGAAAGACGGUUUUGCUGUCACUUAUAGAUGUAUCCGCGCCGCAUUAGCUAGUUGGUAAGGUAACGGCUUACCAAGGCGACGAUGCGUAGCCGACCUGAGAGGGGGAUCGGACACACGGGAACUGAGACACGGUCCAGACCCCUAGGGGAGGCAGCAGUGGGGAAUAUUGGGCAAGGGGCGAAAGCCGGAGGGAGCCACGCCGAGGGAGUGAAGAAGGUCUUAGGAUCUUAAAACUUUUUAAUUAGGGAAAAAAAAAAGUAAAAGAAAAUCUGCCUGUUUGGACGUUACCAAAAAAAAAAGCACCGGCUAACUACGUG